AUUGAACGCUGGCGGCAGGCCUAACACAUGCAAGUCGAGCGGAUGAAGGGAGCUUGCUCCUGGAUUCAGCGGCGGACGGGUGAGUAAUGCCUAGGAAUCUGCCCGGUAGUGGGGGAUAACGUCCGGAAACGGGCGCUAAUACCGCAUACGUCCUGAGGGAGAAAGUGGGGGAUCUUCGGACCUCACGCUAUCAGAUGAGCCUAGGUCGGAUUAGCUAGUUGGUGGGGUAAAGGCCUACCAAGGCGACGAUCUGUAACUGGUCUGAGAGGAUGAUCAGUCACACUGGAACUGAGACACGGUCCAGACUCCUACGGGAGGCAGCAGUGGGGAAUAUUGGACAAUGGGCGAAAGCCUGAUCCAGCCAUGCCGCGUGUGUGAAGAAGGUCUCCGGAUUGUAAAGCACUUUAAGUUGGGAGGAAGGGCAGUAAGUUAAUACCUUGCUGUUUUGACGUUACCAACAGAAUAAGCACCGGCUAACUUCGUG
rnacentral:rRNA from 1 species